UCUCCGUAGGUGAACCUGCGGAGGGAUCAUUACACAAAUAUGAAGGCGGGCUGGAACCUCUCGGGGGUUACAGCCUUGCUGAAUUAUUCACCCUUGUCUUUUGCGUACUUCUUGUUUCCUUGGUGGGUUCGCCACCACUAGGACAAACAUAAACCUUUUGUAAUUGCAAUCAGCGUCAGUAACAAAUUAAUAAUUACAACUUUCAACAACGGAUCUCUUGGUUCUGGCAUCGAUGAAGAACGCAGCGAAAUGCGAUAAGUAGUGUGAAUUGCAGAAUUCAGUGAAUCAUCGAAUCUUUGAACGCACAUUGCGCCCUUUGGUAUUCCAAAGGGCAUGCCUGUUCGAGCGUCAUUUGUACCCUCAAGCUUUGCUUGGUGUUGGGCGUCUUGUCUCUAGCUUUGCUGGAGACUCGCCUUAAAGUAAUUGGCAGCCGGCCUACUGGUUUCGGAGCGCAGCACAAGUCGCACUCUCUAUCAGCAAAGGUCUAGCAUCCAUUAAGCCUUUUUUCAACUUUUGACCUCGGAUCAGGUAGGGAUACCCGCUGAACUUAAGCAUAUC
rnacentral:rRNA from 1 species